rnacentral:rRNA from 1 species
GUCGGGAAUAUUGCGCAAUGGAGGAAACUCUGACGCAGUGACGCCGCGUAUAGGAAGAAGGUUUUCGGAUUGUAAACUAUUGUCGUUAGGGAAGAUAAAAGACUGUACCUAAGGAGGAAGCCCCGGCUAACUAUGUGCCAGCAGCCGCGGUAAUACAUAGGGGGCAAGCGUUAUCCGGAAUUAUUGGGUGUAAAGGGUGCGUAGACGGAGAAACAAGUUGGUUGUGAAAUCCCUCGGCUCAACUGAGGAACUGCAACCAAAACUAUUUCCCUUGAGUGUCGGAGAGGAAAGUGGAAUUCCUAGUGUAGCGGUGAAAUGCGUAGAUAUUAGGAGGAACACCAGUGGCGAAGGCGACUUUCUGGACGAUAACUGACGUUGAGGCACGAAAGUGUGGGGAGCAAACAGG